CAAGGCUUGACAUGGAUUUCUAAGCGCGUGAAAGCGCGUGACCCUUCGGGGAACUUCCACAGGUGCUGCAUGGCCGUCGUCAGCUCGUGUCGUGAGAUGUUGGGUUAAGUCCCGCAACGAGCGCAACCCUUGUGACUAGUUGCCAGCGCGUGAUGGCGGGAACUCUAGUCAGACUGCCCAGAUCAACUGGGAGGAAGGUGGGGACGACGUCAGGUCAGUAUGGCCCUUACGCCUUGGGCUGCACACGUACUACAAUGCCCAGCACAAUGAGAACCGAUGCCGCGAGGCGGAGGAAAUCUGCAAAACUGGGCCCAGUUCGGAUUGGAGGCUGCAACUCGCCUCCAUGAAGUUGGAAUCGCUAGUAAUGGCGCAUCAUCUACGGCGCCGUGAAUGCGUUCCC
rnacentral:rRNA from 1 species